rnacentral:lncRNA from 1 species
UAAAAAUAAACCUAGCUAGGAAGGAAGUCUUUCUUUUUUUAUUUCUAUAUGUGCUGCUUCUUAUUAUAAAAGAAUUUCUUUUAAAGGUACAGGCACAUCAUAAUCACAGGAGCUUAAUUCUUGAAUAGACAAAUAUACUGAAUGUCAGAAGGAAUUCCCAUGUGUCAUUUCAUGUAUUUUCAAUAUACCAAUGUCGUCUUUUCUUAGAAAAUAAACCUUCAUUUGAUAUCAUGAAUAUGAACAUUUACAAAAACAUAAUUCUGUGAAAUAUCAUUUCACCAUUGUCAAAGAAAAAAAUUAUAAACCUUGUAUUUAAAAUUACAAAACAGUAUAAUCAGUAUAUGUAGCAUAUUUUAACAAUACUUAAUGGCUUACUGAGUAGAAAUUUUGACUAUAUCUGUAAGUUGUCUCUAAGUCAAAGUUCAUUGGAUUAGUCAUAUAUUUUAGUUUGUUGAAAUUAAUACAGAUACUUCUUGACUUAGGAUGACAUUAUUUCUUGUAACCCAUGGUAUUUUGGCAAUGAUAAAUGUUAGGAGGCAUUUAUUAAGUCGAUUACAGGUUCAAUCAGGAAAUGUUCCCUAAAUAUUCAUGUGUUUAAUACCCAUUUUGCCAGCUGUCUUAGGAAGAAAUGAUAUAUUAAGAGUUGGUAACUGAGGUUGGAACUUUAAGGGUUAAAGCUCAGCCUUGCAUUCAGUCUGGCUCUUACCUUCAUGAUCCUUCAAGAUUGAUAAAAAGGGAUCUUACUCUGCAACUAUGGAUAGGGACAUGCAUUUUCUGUAGGAGAGACUCCCCUCUGAUAUCAUUCACCAGAUAAACAAAGCUCUCUACCAGUGUUUCUGCCUGCUAUUGUAUUAAAGUGAUGAGAAAAUCAGAAACACAAUUUCUGAGUUGCUGGGCAUUACAGUUUAGCAACCUGAUGUGCUGUAAACUACCAGUGGUUUGUCCUUAUAACCUUGUGGUAGACUGGGCUCUCUCACUCUGUACCUCUGCACAGCAUCAGAGGAAAGGUUUAUAUACCAAGUGCUGUUUAAAUUUCAAGCACAGUGGGAUUACACUAAAUAAACAAAUACAGAAAUGUUCUCUUCAACAACAACAACAACAAAAGCUUGAAAGAAUGAUGUAGUUGUCCUAUUUAGUGCCAGAGUCCCCCACUGUUGAUAUCAGCACUGUGGCUACUAGGAGCCAGUACAUUAAUCACGAUCCUCUGUUAUAAAGCUUUUCUGAUAAGAAAUGUAGGCAACACUAGUUUGUGGGGGUACAAAAAAAAGAAUAUUAGAAAGCAGGUUGCCACCAUAUUCACUUAACAAGACAGUAGUAGUAGGUUCACCUUUAUAACUUUUUUUUAAAGAUUAAUUUAUUAUAUGUAAGUACACUGUAGCUAUCUUCAGUCAGAUCUCCUUAUGGAUGGUUGUGAGCCACCAUGUGGUUGCUGGGAUUUGAACCCCGGACCUCCGGAAGAGCAGUCGGGUGCUCUUACCCACUGAGCCAUCUCUCCAGCCCUCACCUUUAUAACUUAUAGGGCUUGCCUAGCCACUGGUUCUUCAUCAUGUUUAGAGUAGCAGAAAUCAUGGGCUCCACACUCUUGAGUCUGAACCAAAUUUAGUAUCAGUUACACAUAUCGUAAACUUGCCACUAAUGUACCAGUUAGAACUUCCUGCUGGCAGGUUAGUAUUGUAGUGUGUGGUGUUCACAACAAAGUACACUGUUUUUCUCUCUCAGUUAUUUGCAGACCAACUUCUGUAACUAUAAAAAUUAGCCACCAGGGAGGAAAUAUCUAUCUCAGUACUCAAUUAUCUCGUCUGUGUUCUAUAUUCAAAGUGGGUGGUUGAUGUCUUUAGCAAUAUGGAUAUUCCUUUAAUUUUCAGUUGGAAACCAAAGGUAAUGGCAAUAAUUUAUCCUGUUUUGGGGACCUCUGGGUCUUCUUUGACCAAUAACUCAUAGAAAGAUUUCCCACACAAAACACUGGAAUUAUGUUUAAUGACUUACUGCUUCUUGGUCGGUGGUUAGCAUUGUUUACCAUGGGAUUUGUUGUUACAACUGCAUCACUAACUGUAUUGCAUUUUAAACAUGCUUAUAAUUUAGUGAGUUUCCAAGAUUUCUUCCACACAUUCAGGUCUCAUGGUACAUCACAGAAGAGGAAGCAGCAAGAAUACAUGUUAUGCUACAAAGAGAGAACAGACUAGGAUGUUCCAUCCUGGACUAUUGAUCAUUAACAGCUGUUGGUGGAAGAAGUGUCAUUUUUACUACCCAUGGAUAAGUAAGCCAUGUUCCAGGAAGUGUCCUCCGACCCACACUUACAGGAACAACUCUAAUCAAACUCAUUGUGUCUUAAACACUCCCCCAAAACAGAUGCUGGAGAGUGAGUCUUUAGGAAGAAGGAAGUUUCAGUUGUAGAGGAAAGAGGGGUAUGAGAAAGCAAUAGGUAGGAAUCACUAAACAGCAGUGUAUCAGAGCAUGAAAUAGUCAAACAAUUAAUUAAUUAAUUAAUCAAUUAAUUAAAACGAUGCACUCAAAAAUCUCAGAAUAAAAAGAACUUUCAAGUUAUGCCAUAAAUUCAUGAGCCAUAAAAAAAUCAUAGAAUAACUUUUACUAAUCUAAAGCAUGAUGACCAUUUUAGAAGACCAGCGAGAAGUUACAUAGCACCAAUGAAGCAUGAAACAACUUCCAGGAAUCUGUAGACAAACAAUCAAACAAACAAACAAACAAAAUAAACCCAACACACUAGUAAAAGAAAACG